UCUUUAGUCUAUCUUUAGUAGUAGAAUUUUAUUGUAACUUUACAUGAAUAGUUUUUUUUUAAUUGUUUCUAUUACAAUAUUCUAGAUGAUAUCCAUAUGAAUCAAUAUCUUUGAAAGUUAAUGAAAAAAAUAUUGGAUGUUAAAAGAAUUUAGAAAGGAAAACUUGUUAAUAAUAAUUCUAUUUUUGUAGAAAUAUUCCACAUCAAUAUUUAGUGAUCUGUGAAUAAAAAAUUUAUGGAGAAAAUUUAAUUUUCUUUUUUUUAAUUAUGAGUUAACAUGAGUCUUGUACUAGUCAAAUAUCGAUACACAAUCUUAGUUAUGUACAAAAUAUUGUAGAUUAAGUAAAUUAAUAUUGAUAUUGUUUACUGAUAAGUUGUUUUCAAAUUGGUCAAAUAAUACAUGUUAAUCUGAUAUAUUUGAAACAAACUAUAAAUAUCACAUUUUACAGAUAGGUUUAAAUAAUAUGAUGAAUUUUAUUUGUAUGAAGUCAUGAUUAUUUCUAUACAUGCACUACCAACUGAAAAGUUUUAUAUUUAUGUUUGUAAGAGAGAGAGAGAGAGAAGUUUGAACAAAUUAAUUAAUAGUAUUAAUAUAUUUUUCAGGAUUUUUAUGAAUUAAGUACAGCUGUAUUCUGCAUCAAAACAAACAAAGGAUUAUGAAUUAAUAACCAGAGCUGUAUUCUGCAUAAUAACAAGCAUCGGUAAGACCUAGACAACAUGUGUGUCUAAAAGACAUUUUAAAUAAGAUGUCUUUCAGACAUUAUCUAAAAAUAUCUUAUAAAUAUUUUACUUUAGAGACAUCUUAUUUAAGAUGUCUUAAAGAUAUUUUUAUGGUUGGUAUUCAUAAUCUUAUAUAUUUAAAGAUCUUAGAUUUAAAACCAUCUUAAAUUUAUCUUCAGACAUACUCCAUAGCCAAUGAAGUAAUCUGUACAUUGCCUAAAAAUGUGUAAAAUGGUUUUUUGUGUAACCUCUUGUGAAAGAUUAUUUUUAAGCUCAGUAUAAAAUAUUUUUGUACUUGUAUUUGCAGUGCUUAUAAAUGUUUAUAUUCUUAUAUAUUUUAUAAAAAUAAAAAAUAUACGAAUUA